rnacentral:rRNA from 1 species
AAAAAUUAAAAAAAUAUUUCGACCUCAGAUUAGGUGGGAUUCCCCGCUGAAUUAA